CAAGAACAAGUUUGGUAAUAAGCACAGAUAUUUCACAUUCUUAAUACUUGAAUUAGCCACUGAAAUUCUAUUUAAAAUUACCUCUUUUUAUAGCAAAUAAUAUGAAACACAGCAGCUAUUUCUCCAUUCAAACAAGUUACAACUAGCCCAGUAUCAUUUAGGCAAAUAGUGGAAGCUCUCAAAAGAAAGAUGGCUGAAAUGUCAAAGAGGGUCAAAAGACAGCUCAACAAAAGAUCAGCAACUCAGAACUGGCUGUGGUUUACAGUUCAGCCCUGUUAGAAUGUGGAUUAUCUCUUUUGAACAGUUAAUGGAAUGGAAAUGGCAUAUAAGAUUUCUUUGCAUCAAUAAAAAGAAGCUCAACAAUGAGGUCUUGUAUGAAAAAUAGUGAGAAUGUGAUAAAAGAAAUACUUUGACAGAUCAGCUCAACAUCACGUACUACUGAAGAAGGAAGAUUUAAUGUACAUAAAGAGAUUUCGGGGAGUUCCUGUCUUGGCGCAACAGAAAUGAGUCUGACUAGGAACCAUGAGGUUGUGGGUUCCAUCCCUGGCCUCGCUCAGUGGGUUAAGAGGUGUUGCUGUGAGCUGUGGUGUAGGUCACAGAUGUGGCUCGGAUAUGGCGUUGCUGUAGCUCAGUGGGCUGGGGAUCUGGCAUUGCCGUGAGCUGUGGUGUGGGUUGCAGAUGCGGCUCGGAUCCCACGUUGCUGUGGCGGCUGCAGCUCCGAUUGGACCCCUAGCCUGGGAACCUCCAUAUGCCGUGGGAGCGGCCCUAGAAAAGACAAAAAAAACACAGUAUCUGUAGAGUACAAUAAAGUGAAGAGUAAUAAAAUAAGACAUAGUAGACACUAUUGAUUACACUAGAGAAAAAAAUGUAAACCAGGAUUCACCAGUGGCACAUCGGAUUAUUCUACUGAUAGGACAAGUAAGAAAAGGAUUGGGAAAUCACUCCUGAAUUUAACAGUAUGAAGUACAUUUGUGAUGUUAAUGAAAGCAGUUUUGAUGGGGAGAUAAGGUGUAACAUGUGACUAAAAUGGGUUUAAAAUAAAUAAAGAGAACUUGGAGACAACAAAAUUAGCCAACUCUUUAGAGAGGUCAUUGUGAUGUGGUGAUGUAAGAAUCAAACUGCAGCUAUUGGGGAGGUAGGGGAAAUAAAAUAUUUGUUGUUUAAGAUGGGAGAAUUCAUAGUAUGUUUGUAUGGUGGUAGAUGAUACAAUAGAGAAGGAAAAAUUGACAAUUAGAAGAGAGAGGAGAGAUGAGAGAAUUGCUAGAGCAAAGUCCCUGAGUAACUUGCGAAUGGUUGGGACAUAUUGGUAACAUGAGUUGGAAAUCUGAGGGGUUUUGUGAUGAAUGAUGUAAGUAAGAAUAAAGAGCAUUAAAACAUUUGGUGGUAAAUGACAAAUAUCCCCCAAAUAUCAGGCCGUAAUCCUUGGGAUCUGUAAAUAUUAUUACAUAUAGCAAAGGAUAUGAAUAAGUUAAGGAUUUGGGGAUGAGAGAUUAUCCUGGAUUAUCUAAGUGGAUCCUAAACAUAACUGCUUGGGUCGUUAUCAGAGAAAGACAAGAAAUUUCAUAUAGACACAUGGAGAAGGCUAUGUGAGAAUGAGGGCAGAAAUUGGAGUGAUGUGACCAUCUGCCAAGGGAUGCAGGUUGCCACGUCUUACUUAUGUAUGUGUCUCACUCCUGGCCUAGGGUGACUGAAAGGUCAGACUGACUGGGCAUCUUCCAUUCUUCAUGCUGCUUUCUUUCUUGCUGGCUUAGAUUUCCUCAUAGUAUGCCAGUUUAAUGAAAGUUGGGCUUUUUACAUAGAGCUUGGCUUUCCCCGGAGUGUGCAUUCCAAGAGGAGUUGGCAGAAGGCUUCUUAUGAUCCAAGAUUAGAAGUUUCAAAAAAAAAAAACAUUUAUGCAUCACAUUGGUCAGGCAACUAAGCUAGCCCAAGGCAAAUAGAAUUAGACCCCACCUCUCCGUGAAAGAAGUAGAAAAGGAUAUGUGGCAAUUUUUAAUCUACCACACAUACCAAAGAAAAGGAUGUGAGAUACACUUAUAUUUCAGAGGAGAAAUAUGAGAAAACAGAGAAUAAAUAACAGCAUUUCUGAAAUCAAUGAAGGAGUUUCCAGAAGUAAUUAGGUUUGUUAUUGGAAAGUUAAUCGAAUAUCUUAAAGUAAGUUUGUCUACCUGAACUGAGGGAGAAAGUACAGAAUUACAGCACUGAAGACAAUUGAUACACUUAGUUCUUUCUCCCUGAGAAUGUAAAAUUCUAUUUAUAUAUAGAUACUUGAGGAAUCAAUUUAUAUGAUUGAUUAAUUGUUAUAAGAUUCAAUAUUUGUAGCCAAUGCAAUAUCUAUAUCAUUUUCAUUUUAAUAAGUUAAACUUAUGUUAUCUUUUUAGUUGACUUAAGUGACCAUUUAGUUUGUCAAAUAAAGGACAACUCCGAAAUAUCUUUAGUGAAUUCAAUCAAGACUACCGCUCAUGGAGCCUUCUGGUAUGUGAAGUGUGUGUGUAUAGGAGGUGGUGAAAAAGUGGAUCAGAUUUGCAUAGGAACACAAUAGUUUUCUGAGUGAAAGGGAUUAAGAUCCCAAUUAUCUCUCAAUUAGCUUCAAAAUUAUUAAAAUCCAUCAGAUGGACUAGGAUCUUAGGAAAAAGCAGUGAGUACUUUGAAAUAAAAUUACUUAAAAGAAAAAAGAAAGGAUGAGUCUGGGCUGAUGAUCAGAUGAUCAGAGAUCUAGAUGAAAGGCUUCAAGACUAAAUGAAAGUAUGAUGUCUUUGACCUUCAAUGUAACUUGUGCUUGAAACUCCUCCACACAUCGGCCCAGCCACUGUGCAUGUCCUUAUCUGUGGAGGACCUUGGUUGGCUCUAGGCAUAUAAAUCAACAAACAAGCCUGAAAAUCCAACAACCUUGACCCCAAGAGAGUAGGAAUGUCUUUUUUUCAAAGACCCCAGACUGUGCAGGAACCUGGACAAGUGAGGCUCCACUACAGAGAGAACUGGGACUUCCAGGCAAGUAUCAUCAUCUACAGGACAGUGGAAAAGCAAUUCAGAGUCUUCUGAAGCCCAGAGACCUCUCUGAUGGGAGUAAAAGUCAGAAAAUCCUCCAUCUUUUGGAUUAGUUAAGCCCCAGGGCUCUAGAAAAUUGGGGAAUAUGGGGGAUUUAGAAUACAAAUAGUUUUUCAGCUUUGAAGUAUUUUAGUAUGUGAGAUUGAGGAUGCUCAGUUUUUGUUGCUGUUAUUUAAGUUCAGUUUAGUUUAAUUUAGUUCAUUAUCUCAUUUGCACGCAGUUUGUGAAUAGCCAAUUACAAAAGCAUAAACGAGGGAGGGAGAAAAGGAGAGUAACAGAGAAUCACAGAGACUGGGCAGACAGAUAAAAAGAGACAGAGACAAAGAAAGAAACUACAGAUAAUUUUUUUUCAAAAUUGUUAAGAAAAACAUUUUGCUCCAUAUUUAAACUUGAUCUAGACCAGUAUCAUUUGAAUUUUAUGUUUGAAAGAGAAAGUUAAAAUUUCAUAAUUUUCCUUUCUAUUUCUGG
rnacentral:lncRNA from 1 species